CUGCUGCCUCCCGUAGGAGUUUGGGCCGUGUCUCAGUCCCAAUGUGGCCGUCCACCCUCUCAGGCCGGCUACUGAUCGUCGCCUUGGUGGGCCGUUACCCCGCCAACAAGCUAAUCAGACGCGGGUCCAUCUUACACCACCGGAGUUUUUCACACAAAUCCAUGCGGCUUCGUGCGCUUAUGCGGUAUUAGCACCUAUUUCUAAGUGUUAUCCCCCAGUGUAAGGCAGGUUACCCACGCGUUACUCACCGUCCGCCACCUAAGUA
rnacentral:rRNA from 1 species